AUACAUGCACAGUCAUGUCACAGGUAGUCACACCCUCUCACUCACAUCCUCCCAGGCACACUCACAAUCAAGCCUUCACACGCACAACAGUCACACCCUCACAUGCAGUCACACCCAUAUGCACACUCAUGCACACUCACAUCCUCCCAUGCAGUCACUCGCACGGGCAGUCACACAUUCACUCUCACAUGCACACAGUCACACUCUCAUGCAGUCACACCUGCACAUGCACACAGUCACACCUGCACUGUCACACCCAUACGUGCACUCAGUCACACCCUCAUAUGCAGUCACACCCUCACAUGCACACUCAGUCACACCUGCACUGUCACACCCACACAUGCACUCACAGUCACACCCUCAUAUGCAGUCACACCUCACAUGCACACUCAGUCACACCCUCACAUGCACACUCAUGCACUCAUAUCCUCCCAUGCAGUCACACCUGCACAUGCAGUCACACAUUCACUCUCACAUGCAGUCACACCCUCUCGUGCACACUCAGUGACACCUUCACAUGCACAGUCACACCUGCACUGUCACACCCACACAUGCACACUCAGUCACAUCCUCUCAUGCACUCAUAUACACAAUCACACCCUCCCAUGCACAAAGGCAC
rnacentral:lncRNA from 1 species